UGCAAGUCGAACGGCAGCACGGACUUCGGUCUGGUGGCGAGUGGCGAACGGGUGAGUAAUGUAUCGGAACGUGCCCAGUAGCGGGGGAUAACUACGCGAAAGCGUAGCUAAUACCGCAUACGCCCUACGGGGGAAAGCAGGGGAUCGCAAGACCUUGCACUAUUGGAGCGGCCGAUAUCGGAUUAGCUAGUUGGUGGGGUAACGGCUCACCAAGGCGACGAUCCGUAGCUGGUUUGAGAGGACGACCAGCCACACUGGGACUGAGACACGGCCCAGACUCCUACGGGAGGCAGCAGUGGGGAAUUUUGGACAAUGGGGGAAACCCUGAUCCAGCCAUCCCGCGUGUGCGAUGAAGGCCUUCGGGUUGUAAAGCACUUUUGGCAGGAAAGAAACGUCAUGGGUUAAUACCCCGUGAAACUGACGGUACCUGCAGAAUAAGCACCGGCUAACUACGUGCCAGCAGCCGCGGUAAUACGUAGGGUGCAAGCGUUAAUCGGAAUUACUGGGCGUAAAGCGUGCGCAGGCGGUUCGGAAAGAAAGAUGUGAAAUCCCAGAGCUUAACUUUGGAACUGCAUUUUUAACUACCGGGCUAGAGUGUGUCAGAGGGAGGUGGAAUUCCGCGUGUAGCAGUGAAAUGCGUAGAUAUGCGGA
rnacentral:rRNA from 1 species